GGUGGUGUAGCUCAGUGGUAGAGUGCUUGCCUGGCAUGCAUGAGGUCUUGGGUUCCAUCCCCAGCACCACAA
rnacentral:tRNA from 1 species